ensembl:lncRNA
GGACAAGGGAGUUCACUGAAGCUCUAACAUAAGUUUCAAUGCAAAGAACUUCUAAACACAUUAAAAACUGUCUUUCUGCAUUGCAAAUAACAUUUCAUUUCAUGAGUCAUAAAGAUCUUUUAUGUUGACAAGUUUUACUCCUAACAUUGAAUGUAGCAACUUCCUCUCACUGAGACAGGCUUUGCAGCAUAGGUGGACUUGAUUUCUUUUCAUUUGCCCAGAAGCACUAACUCAGCAUAAAUGUUCACAGAAGAUGCAAACUACCAAGGCAGUUCACUGAAACUCUAACAAAAGUUUCUUUGUGUAGAACUUCUAACACAUUAAAAAAUGUCUUUUGCAUUGCAAAUAACAUUUCAUUUCAUGAGUCAGAAACAUUUUUCAUGUUGGCAAGUCUUAUUCUUAACAGUGAAUGUAGCAACUUUAACUCAUUGAGAGAGAAGCUUUGCUUCUGUGAACACUAAUGCUGAGUUACAUUAAGGCAGUUCAUUGAUGCUCUGACAUAAGUUUCAGUCCAAAGAACUUCUAACACAUUAAAAACUGUCUUUCUGCAUUGCAAAUAACAUUUCAUUUCAUGAGUCAGAAACAUCUAUCAUGUUGGCAAGUUUUACUCUUUACACUGAAUGUAGCAACUUUAACUCAUUGAGAGAGAAGCUUUGCUUCUGUGAACACUAAUGCUGAGUUACAUUAAGGCAGUUCAUUGAUGCUCUAACAUGAGUUUCAGUCCAAAGAACUUCUAACACAUUAAAAACUGUCUUUCUGCAUUGAAAAAUGACAUUUCAUUUCAUGAGUCAGAAACAUCUUUCAUGUUGGCAAGCUUUACUCUUAACACUGAUGUAGCAACUUUCUCUCACUGAGACGGAAGCUUUGCAGCAUAUGUGGGCUUGCGUUCUCUUCAGUUGCCCAGAAGCACCAACUCAGCAUAAGUGUUCACAGAACAUGCAAACUGACAAGGCAGUUCAUUGUAGCUCUAACAUGAGUUUCAGUGCAAAGAACUUAUAACAUAUUACAAACUGUCUUUCUGCAUUGCAAAUAACAUUUCAUUUAAUGAGUCAGAAACAUCUUUCAUGUUGGCAAGUUUUACUCUUAACAGUGAAUGUAGCAACUUUCUCUCACUGAGAGAGAAGCUUUGCCGCAUAUUUGGACUUGCUUUCUUUUCAUUUGCACAGAAGCAUUAACUCAGUAUUAGUGAUGACAGAAUAUGCAAACUGAUAAGGCAGUUCACUGAAGCUCUAACAUAAUUUCAGUGCAAAGAACAUCUAAAACAUUAAAAACCGUCUUUCUGCAUUGCAAAUAACAUUUCAUGAGUCAAAAACAUCUUUCAUGUUGGCAAGUUUUAAUCUUAACAGUGAAUAUAGCAACUUUCUCUCACUGAGACAGAAUCAUUGCAGCAUAGGUGGACUUGCUUUCUUUUCAUUUGCCCAGAAGCACUAACUCAGCCUUCGUGUUCGCAGAAGAUGCAAACUGACAAGGCAGUUCGCUAAAGCUCUAACAAAAUUUCUUUGCAUAGAACUUCUAACACAUUAAAAACUGUCUUUUGCAUUGCAAAUAACAUUUCAUUUCAUGAGUCAGAAACAUCUUUCAUUUUGAAAAGUUUUGCUCAUAACUCUGAAUUUAGCAACUUUCUCUCACUGACAGAGAAGUUUUGCAGCAUAUGUCGACUUGCUUACUUUUCAUUUGCCCAAAAGCAUUAACUCAGUAUUAGUGAUCUCAGACGCUGUAAACUGACAAGGAUGAUCAUUGACACUGUAACAAAAGUUUCUCUGUAUAGAACUUCUUAAACAUUAAAAACUGUCUUUCUGGAUUGAAAAAUGACAUUUCAUUUCAUGAGUCAGAAACAUCUUUCAUGUUGGCAAGUUUUACUCUUAACACUGUAUGUAGCAACUUUCUCUCACUGAGACGGAAGCUUUGCAGCAUAUGUGGGCUUGCGUUCUCUUCAGUUGCCCAGAAGCACCAACUCAACAUAAGAGUUCACAGAACAUGCAAACUGACAAGGCAGUUCAUUGAAGCUCUAACAUGAGUUUCAGUGCAAAGAACUUCUAACACAUUAAAAACUGUCUUUCUGCUCUGAAAAUAACAUUUCAUUUCAGGAGUCAGAAACAUCUUUCAUGUUGGCAAGUGUUGUUCUUAACAUUGUAUUAAGGUACUUUCUCUCACUAAAAGAGAAGCUUUGCAGCUUAUGUGGGCUUGCUUUCAAAUCAUUUUGCCCAGAAGCACCAACUCAACAUAAGUGGUCACAGAAGCUGUAAAAUGACAAGGCUGAUCACUGACACUCCAACAAAAGUUUCUCUGUAUAGAACUUCUAAUGCAUUAAAAACUGUCUUUAUGCAUUGCAAAUAACAUUUCAUUUCAUUAGUCAGAAACAUCUAUCAUGUUGGCAAGUUUUACUCUUAACACUGAAUGUAGCAACUUUCUCUCACUGAGAGAGAAGCUUUGCUUCUGUGAACACUAAUGCUGAGUUACAUUAAGGCAGUUCAUUGAUGCUCUAACAUAAGUUUCAGUCCAAAGAACUUUUAACACAUUAAAAACUGUCUUUUGCAUUGCAAAUAACAUUUCAUUUCAUGAGUCAGAAACAUCUUUUUUAUUUUCAAGUUUUGCUCUUAACUCUGAAUUUAGCAACUUUCUCUCACUGACAGAGAAGUUUUGCAGCAUAUGUCGACUUGCUUUUCAUUUGCCCACAAGCAUUAACUCAGUAUUAGUGAUCUCAGACGCUGUAAACUGACAAGGAUGAUCAUUGACACUGUAACAAAAGUUUCUCCGUAUAGAACUUCUAAAACAUAAAAAAAAAAGACAUUUCAUUUCAUGAGUCAGAAACAUCUUUCAUGUUGGCAAGUUUUGCUCUUAACAAUGAAUUAAGCAACUUUCUCUCACUGAGAGCGAAGAUUUACAGCAUAUGUGGGCUUGCGUUGUCUUCAUUUGCUUAGAUGCACUUACAUAGUAUUACUGUUAACAGAAGCACUAAACUAGGUUCUUGUGCUGAGAAGCUCUAACAUAAGUUCAUGAGUAUAAAACUCCUAACAAAUUCAAAUCUGUCUUUCUGCAUUGCAAAUAUACUCUUAUAAAAAAAGAGUGUUCAAUUCAUUCGCGAAACUACCGCCAGGUGGCGCAAAGAGACGGAUUGCGAACUGAAUGUAAUUGUAAAAUGAGAUAAAAGGAAGAGGUAAAACAACAAUAACAUUAUGAUAUAACAUUGUACCAUCUUUAAAAACCAUUAAAAAAUGUACAGUGAGUUAAUUUCAAAAUGUAGGAUAGUCUUAGGCUACAGUCUACUCAUCAAAAAUUAAAAGAAAGACCUUUACACAAAGGAUCUUAUGCUUGCUAUUGUUAUUAAACAGUCAUUAAAUAAGGCCUAUUUAUACGGAUAAAAAGGUAAAUGUUUUCAUUUCGGUUCAUUCUUGGUUUAAAAAAAAAUCCUUCAGGUUCCAUUUGCAGAUCGAAAUGAGAACGGUCCAGCAUUUAGCAAUAAUAUUUAUUAAUUCUGUUAUUAUUCUUGAUUUUUCAAACUGCUAACACUUUGCAUUUUUGAAUUAUGCCUUUACUGUGACCAAAAAUUUUGUAUUUUCUGUUUCAGCUGGUGCCUCGCGCACAUUCAUUGGAAACAGUAGCCGUUCACCGUGCCAUCCAGCGCGAGCAGCGGUCCACUUUGGCAUAUUUUUGUUAAUUAUGAUUUUUUUUUUUUUUUUCGUCGAUACUGAAACAUGCGUGAACUACAAAGCCUAUUUUUCCUAAUGAAUAAUAGUUAAGCUUGAUAUAGGCAACAUCACGAAUAUGGAAACGUUUGGAUUUCUCCCGAAUGAGAGCCCAAACUUACCUUAUGGUUCGCUUUAAAUUAUUAUUCAUUUAUUUAUUUUUUGUUUGUUUAUAGCUAAGCCUAUAUUAUUAUAUACUGCAAUUUUAUUUAUCCAUUAGAAUUAUAUAUUUGUAAUUAUUGUUCUGUUCUGAUAAAUUUGUUAAAUUUAAAGGAUUUGUUGUAAAGUGAAGAGAACUAAAAAUAUCCUGUUGGCACAUUAUAACAUUAUUAGGCCAGCCAUUAUUAUUUCUGAAUGUAAUAAAAUGCAACUUAUACAUGACUUAUAUAUUUUUUUCCUCUCACAAAUUAAAUUUAUUUUUUAGCCUCUUUUAAAAAAUAAAUAAAUAAAAUAAAAUAACAUGCAGCAAACGAAAAUAUGCAAUUAAUCGGUUAAAAUUUGUUGCUGUGGGGUAAUUAUAAUUAUUAUAUACUUAGGAACAGAGUCCGGGCCUAAUCUAGGCUAUCCAGGGUUUUUAUUUUUUUUAAUUUUCAUUGCAUCUGAAAAUGACUUUGUGCAGCACAUUCACUUCGCACGCUCAACCUGCCUCGCGCGUUGCUCAGUUGUAGACAAUAUAAAAAUGUUUGAUAUAAAGGUUGCUGUCCCAUUUUAUACAGGAAUUGUUCAUUAAAAAAAAAAAUCUAAUUAUAUUGUUAGUUCUAAUUAUAUUGUUAACACAAGUUCAUUUAGGCUAUUUAACAUGCACUGUGACAUUUUACCCUUUUU